rnacentral:rRNA from 1 species
UACGUAGGGUGCAAGCGUUGUUCGGAAUUACUGGGCGUAAAGGGCGCGUAGGCGGCCUUCUAAGUCGAACGUGAAAUCCCCGGGCUCAACCCGGGAACUGCGUCCGAUACUGGAAGGCUUGAAUCCGGGAGAGGGAUGCGGAAUUCCAGGUGUAGCGGUGAAAUGUGUUGAUAUCGGAAGGAACGCCGGUGGCGAAAGCGACACACUGGGCCUUGUCUGACGCUGAGGCACGAAAGCCAGGGGAGCAAACGGG